rnacentral:rRNA from 1 species
UUAAGCAUAUCAAUAAGCGGAGGAAAAGAAACCAACAGGGAUUGCCCCAGUAACGGCGAGUGAAGCGGCAAGAGCUCAAAUUUGAAAUCUGGCCUCCUCCGGGGGUCCGAGUUGUAAUUUGCAGAGGAUGCUUCGGGUGCGGCCCCCGUCUAAGUUCCUUGGAACAGGACGUCAGAGAGGGUGAGAAUCCCGUCUUGGGCGGGCGGCCCGCGCCCGUGUGAAGCUCCUUCGACGAGUCGAGUUGUUUGGGAAUGCAGCUCUAAGCGGGUGGUAAAUUUCAUCUAAAGCUAAAUAUUGGCCGGAGACCGAUAGCGCACAAGUAGAGUGAUCGAAAGGUUAAAAGCACCUUGAAAAGGGAGUUAAACAGCACGUGAAAUUGUUGAAAGGGAAGCGCUUGCGGCCAGACUCGGGGGCGGGGUUCAGCGGGCGCUCGUCGCCCGUGCACUCCCCGCGCCCCGGGCCAGCAUCAGUUUCGACGGUCGGUCAAAGGCCCCCGGAAUGUGUCGUCUCUAGGGACGUCUUAUAGCCGGGGGUGCAAUGCGGCCCGUCGGGACUGAGGAACGCGCUUCGGCUCGGAUGCUGGCGUAAUGGCCGUAAGCGGCCCGUCUUGAAACACGGACCAAGGAGUCUAACAUCCACGCGAGUGUUCGGGUGUCAAACCCGUGCGCGCAGUGAAAGCGAACGGAGGUGGGAGCCUUUGGGCGCACCAUCGACCGAUCCUGAAGUCUUCGGAUGGAUUUGAGUAGGAGCGUGGCCGUUGGGACCCGAAAGAUGGUGAACUAUGCCUGAAUAGGGUGAAGCCAGAGGAAACUCUGGUGGAGGCUCGCAGCGGUUCUGACGUGCAAAUCGAUCGUCAAAUUUGGGCAUAGGGGCGAAAGACUAAUCGAACCAUCUAGUAGCUGGUUCCUGCC